rnacentral:rRNA from 1 species
UACAGAGGGGGCAAGCGUUGUUCGGAAUUACUGGGCGUAAAGGGCGCGUAGGCGGCCUGCUAAGUCGAACGUGAAAUCCCCGAGCUCAACUCGGGAACUGCGUCCGAUACUGGCAGGCUUGAAUCCGGGAGAGGGAUGCGGAAUUCCAGGUGUAGCGGUGAAAUGCGUAGAUAUCAGGAGGAACACCGGUGGCGAAGGCGGUUCUCUGGGCAUUACCUGACGCUGAGGAGCGAAAGUGUGGGGAGCGAACAGG